rnacentral:ncRNA from 1 species
GUUUUAUUCUUGCUUAUUUAUUUGCUUUCAAAUUAUUUUAUAUGUAAGUUUUUGCAUAAUUUAUAAUUUUUUAUCUUAAUGAUUUAUUAAUUUUUGUUAAAUUCGCAGUAAUAAAUUUUAUUAAUUUAUGGAAAUUUGAUUUGGUAAUUUUGAUUUAUUUUUGGUAAAAUUUGUGCCAGCAUCCGCGGUUAUACAAUGAAUAUAAGUGAAUAUUUUUAGUUGAAGGUAGUUAAAGAUUUAUUUAUUGGGAUUAAUUAUUAUUUUUUUAGGUGAAAUUUUAAUAUUUUUAUUAAUUUUUGUUUUUUAUCUUGAGGCUAUUAAAUCUAUAAUUUUAGACUAGGAUUAGAUACCCUAUUAUUUUAGAUGUAGUUUAUUUUUAACUUAGGUAGUAUUAGUUAUGAUCUUGAAACUUAAAGAAUUUGGCGGUAUUUUAGUCUUUUUAGAGGAAUCUGUCCCUUAAUCGAUAGUCCACGUUGAACCUUACCAAGUUUAUUGUAUGUAUACCGCCGUUUAUAAUGAGGAUCUUUUUAGAGUAUAUUUAUAUUAAUUUUCUUAAUUUGUUUUAAAGUUUAUUUCAGGUCAAGGUGCAGCUUAAAUAAUUUGGUGGAGAUGUAUUACAUUUGUAUUUAAUAUUGGAAUAUUUAUUGAAAGUUUAGUUAUUGAAAUUGGAUUUAAUUGUAAUUUUUUAUAGAUUGUAAAGAUGAUUUUGGCUCUAAAAUAUGUACAUAUCGCCCGUCACUCUCAUUAUUUAUUAAUUGAGAUAAGUCGUAACAUAGUGGUUGUACCGGAAGGUGUAGCUUGAAUGAUAUUUAUUUUUAUA